GAACUUUUUACGGAACUUGGCACUGGAAGAAUUCACAGAUUGUAUUUGAAUCGUGGUUCUUUUAAUGCCAUAUUCCGUGGGAAGCAC
rnacentral:pre_miRNA from 14 species